rnacentral:rRNA from 1 species
AUACGUAGGCACCAAGCGUUGUUCGGAAUUACUGGGCGUAAAGCGAGUGUAGGCGGUUUGCCAAGUCCGUUGUGAAAUCUCCCGGCUUAACCGGGAGGGUGCGGCGGAAACUGGCAGGCUAGAGUGCGGAAGGGGAGAGCGGAAUUCCUGGUGUAGCGGUGAAAUGCGUAGAUAUCAGGAGGAACACCGGCGGUGAAGACGGCUCUCUGGACCGCUACUGACGCUGAGACUCGAAAGCGUGGGGAGCAAACAGGAUUAGAUACCCGGGUAGUCC